rnacentral:rRNA from 1 species
AUUGAACGCUGGCGGCAUGCCUUACACAUGCAAGUCGAACGGCAGCACGGGAGCAAUCCUGGUGGCGAGUGGCGAACGGGUGAGUAAUAUAUCGGAACGUGCCCAGUAGUGGGGGAUAGCCCGGCGAAAGCCGGAUUAAUACCGCAUACGACCUGUGGGUGAAAGCGGGGGAUCGCAAGACCUCGCGCUAUUGGAGCGGCCGAUAUCAGAUUAGCUUGUUGGUGGGGUAAAAGCCCACCAAGGCGACGAUCUGUAGCUGGUCUGAGAGGACGACCAGCCACACUGGGACUGAGACACGGCCCAGACUCCUACGGGAGGCAGCAGUGGGGAAUAUUGCACAAUGGGGGAAACCCUGAUGCAGCAACGCCGCGUGGAGGAAGAAGGCGUUCAGCGUUGUAAACUGCUUUUAAUGUGGAAGAAGAGUCAUUCUGCGGGAUGAUGUGACGGUACACAUGGAAUAAGCACCGGUAACUCCGUGCCC